CCCUACGGGGGGCAGCAGUGGGGAAUAUUGCACAAUGGGGGAAACCCUGAUGCAGCGACGCCGCGUGAGUGAAGAAGUAUUUCGGUAUGUAAAGCUCUAUCAGCAGGAACGAGACAAGACGGUACCUGACUAAGAAGCCCCGGCUAACUACGUGCCAGCAGCCGCGGUAAUACGUAGGGGGCAAGCGUUAUCCGGAAUUACUGGGUGUAAAGGGAGCGUAGACGGCUGUGCAAGUCUGGAGUGA
rnacentral:rRNA from 1 species